GAUCGGGGUGAUGUGGUCCCUUUUUCGGGUGCCCGUCAGGAGUCUCGCUGCGGCGUUUUGGACCAGUUGCAGGCGGGACAGGGAAGAUUGGCUGAUGCCAGUGUAGAGGGAGCUGCAGUAAUCUAGGUGGGAGGCGAUAAAUGUGUGCAUGAUCUUUUUGAGGCCAUCAAACUGGAGGAAUUUGGUUUCAUUUUAGCUAU